rnacentral:rRNA from 1 species
AUUGAACGCUGGCGGCAUGCCUUACACAUGCAAGUCGAACGGCAGCACGGGAGCAAUCCUGGUGGCGAGUGGCGAACGGGUGAGUAAUAUAUCGGAACGUGCCCAGUCGUGGGGGAUAACGUAGCGAAAGCUACGCUAAUACCGCAUACGAUCUAUGGAUGAAAGCGGGGGAUCGCAAGACCUCGCGCGAUUGGAGCGGCCGAUAUCAGAUUAGGUAGUUGGUGAGGUAAAGGCUCACCAAGCCGACGAUCUGUAGCUGGUCUGAGAGGACGACCAGCCACACUGGGACUGAGACACGGCCCAGACUCCUACGGGAGGCAGCAGUGGGGGAAUUUUUGGACAAUGGGCGCAAGCCUGAUCCAGCAAUGCCGCGUGCAGGAUGAAGG